rfam:Nomascus leucogenys chromosome 25, whole genome shotgun sequence.
AUCACUUCUCGGCCUUUUGGCUAAGAUCAAAUGUAGUAUCUGUUCUUAUCAGUUCUAGGAUACAUGUGCAGAAUGUGCAGUUUUGUUACAUAGGUAUACAUGUGCCAUGGUGGUUGGCUGCAUCCAUCAACAAUCAUCUAGGUUUUAAGCCCCGCAUGCAUUAGGUAUUUGUCCUAAUGCUAUCCCUC